rnacentral:rRNA from 1 species
AGAGUUUGAUCAUGGCUCAGGAUGAACGCUGGCGGCGUGCCUAACACAUGCAAGUCGGACGAAGCUCCUGCGACAGAUUCCUUCGGGAUGAAGAUGCUUGAGACUUAGUGGCGGACGGGUGAGUAACGCGUGGGUAACCUGCCCUGUACUGGGGGACAACAGUUAGAAAUGACUGCUAAUACCGCAUAAGCCUACAGAGUCGCAUGACUCAGCAGGAAAAAUUCCGGUGGUACAGGAUGGGCCCGCGUCUGAUUAGCUAGUUGGUGAGGUAACGGCUCACCAAGGCGACGAUCAGUAGCCGGCUUGAGAGAGUGAACGGCCACAUUGGGACUGAGACACGGCCCAAACUCCUACGGGAGCA